UGCAGUCGAGCGGAUGAGUGGAGCUUGCUCCAUGAUUCAGCGGCGGACGGGUGAUAAUGCCUAGGAAUCUGCCUGGUAGUGGGGGAUAACGUUUCGAAAGGAACGCUAAUACCGCAUACGUCCUACGGGAGAAAGUGGGGGAUCUUCGGACCUCACGCUAUCAGAUGAGCCUAGGUCGGAUUAGCUAGUUGGUGGGGUAAUGGCCCACCAAGGCGACGAUCCGUAACUGGUCUGAGAGGAUGAUCAGUCACACUGGAACUGAGACACGGUCCAGACUCCUACGGGAGGCAGCAGUGGGGAAUAUUGGACAAUGGGCGAAAGCCUGAUCCAGCCAUGCCGCGUGUGUGAAGAAGGUCUUCGGAUUGUAAAGCACUUUAAGUUGGGAGGAAGGGCAGUAAGUUAAUACCUUGCUGUUUUGACGUUACCAACAGAAUAAGCGCCGGCUAACUUCGUGCCAG
rnacentral:rRNA from 1 species